rnacentral:rRNA from 1 species
GACGAACGCGGGCGGCGUGCUUAACACAUGCAAGUCGAACGGUGAAGCGCUUUCCUUUUUGGUUGGUGUGGAUGAGUGGCGAACGGGCGAGUAACACGUGAGUAACCUGCCCCCUUCUUCUGGAUAACCGCAUGAAAGUGUGGCUAAUACGGGAUAUUCUGCGCCUGCUGCAUGGUGGGUGUGGGAAAGAUUGUGCCUUUGGGUGUUUUCGGUGGGGGAUGGGCUCGCGGCCUAUCAGCUUGUUGGUGGGGUGAUGGCCUACCAAGGCGGUGACGGGUAGCCGGCCUGAGAGGGUGGACGGUCACACUGGGACUGAGACACGGCCCAGACUCCUACGGGAGGCAGCAGUGGGGAAUAUUGCACAAUGGGCGCAAGCCUGAUGCAGCGACGCCGCGUGAGGGAUGGAGGCCUUCGGGUUGUGAACCUCUUUCGCCAGUGAAGCAGGCCUGCUCCUUGUGGGUGGGUGACGGAGCUGAUA